rnacentral:tRNA from 1 species
UGAUGUGGCUCAAUUGGUAGAGCAGCUGACUUGUAAUCAGCAGGUUGUAGGUUCAAGUCCUAUCAUCA